GAUGAACGCUGGCGGCGUGCCUAAUACAUGCAAGUCGAGCGAAUGGAUUAAGAGCUUGCUCUUAUGAAGUUAGCGGCGGACGGGUGAGUAACACGUGGGUAACCUGCCCAUAAGACUGGGAUAACUCCGGGAAACCGGGGCUAAUACCGGAUAACAUUUUGAACCGCAUGGUUCGAAAUUGAAAGGCGGCUUCGGCUGUCACUUAUGGAUGGACCCGGGUCGCAUUAGCUAGUUGGUGGGGUAACGGCUCACCAAGGCAACGAUGCGUAGCCGACCUGAGGGGGUGAUCGGCCACACUGGGGAUGAGACACGGCCCAGACUCCUACGGGAGGCAGCAGUAGGGAAUCUUCCGCAAUGGACGAAAGUCUGACGGAGCAACGCCGCGUGAGUGAUGAAGGCUUUCGGGUCGUAAAACUCUGUUGUUAGGGAAGAACAAGUGCUAGUUGAAUAAGCUGGCACCUUGACGGUACCUAACCAGAAAGCCACGGCUAACUACGUGCCAGCCGCCGCAGUAA
rnacentral:rRNA from 1 species